UAUGUCAGGCAUAGUUUCAUAGUUUACAGAGAAAGUAACAGCACAAAACAUCAUGGAGAAAUUUUCGUAGAGAAUUUGGACUGGAAUUGAUAAAUGAAGAACAAUAUGUAUCUGUCCAAAGAACUGUGCAAAAGAAUUCUGGAGCAGACCUGUGAACAGACAGGUAAAACAUCAAAAGAAUUCCUAAGAAAACAGGAAGACCAACAAGAGGUUAAGUAUGUCCUAUCAAAGGAGACAGGAAAACAAAACGAUGUGCUGUCAGUGAUAUUGGUAAGCUAGAAGGGUGUUAGAGGACUAACCUUUCAGCAGGAGCAAUUUGAAAUAUUAAUGCUGCACGGAUUAUGAUUGCUGGAGAAGACUUUGGCCAAUAUGUUUAACACAGCUGUUCUUAAAUGAGGGACUCUCUGGAUUCCUCAAAUGAAGGAUCCAGACGACGCAGUCCUCCAUGACUUGAGAUGGAGGUCCACGUCUUAUUCUGCAGUGAUGCCUAUACACUGAGCCAGGUCUUGGGUGAGAAUACGGUGUCACUACUUAUAUAUUACUUGAAACUGUUGCUGUGUGCAGAUGAAAUCCGAGCUUACCAGGUGACAUUAAGAUGAGUUACCAUGUUUUGGAUCUAGACAACAAAUAAAAUAUUCCUGCAAUUGUGCCCAGAGUCUGUGAAGCAGAACAACUUCUACAAAGGUCCACAAGCAGUGAUUUCAGAGACCUCGGCAGCAGGAGCCACCAGCAGUCUGCACAAGAAGCACCACACUUUGGGCCCUGACACUGAAUCUUUCUAGGAAUCUUGCCACAACAAAUCCAAAAUGCCAUCAAAAGUAACCUCUCUUGGUUUUGCAUGGCAGGGACACAACAUUGCAGAUCAGCUAAGUGCUCCUGGAGCUGUGGGAUUGGACUCAGUGAGGAAAUGAAAAAUGGAGGAGACUUUUUCCAGGGGACUCAACAUGACCAACUCACAGGGCACAUUUCUUCAAGGGUUGCACCCCAGUAAAGCCAGUCACAGCCAC